rnacentral:rRNA from 1 species
GUUUGAUCCUGGCUCAGAAUGAAGCUGGCGGCGUGCCUAACACAUGCAAGUCGCACGAGAAAGUCUGCUUUCGGGCGGGCGAGUAAAGUGGCGCACGGGUGAGUAACGCGUAGGUAAUCUACCCCUGGAUUUGGGAUAACAGUGCGAAAGCGCUGCUAAUACCGGAUACGACCUUUUCGCGGGAGCGGGAAGGUGAAAAUCGGCCUCUCGAAGAAGCUGAUGUUCGGGGAUGAGCCUGCGUCCUAUCAGCUAGUUGGCAGGGUAAAGGCCUACCAAGGCGACGACGGGUAGCUGGUCUGAGAGGAUGAUCAGUCACACUGGCACUGGAACACGGGCCAGACUCCUACGGGAGGCAGCAGUGAGGAAUUUUGCGCAAUGGCCGCAAGGCUGACGCAGCAACGCCGCGUGGGUGAUGAAGGCCUUCGGGUCGUAAAGCCCUGUCAGGUGGGAAGAACGAUUGGGGGUCGAAUAGGCCUUUGAUGUGACGGUACCACCAGAGGAAGCACCGGCUAACUCCGUGCCAGCAGCCGCGGUAAUACGGAGGGUGCGAGCGUUAUUCGGAAUUACUGGGCGUAAAGCGCGUGUAGGCGGCCUGGCAAGUCUGAUGUGAAAGCCCCGGGCUUAACCUGGGAAGUGCAUUGGAAACUGUCGGGCUUGAGUACUGGAGAGGAUGGGGGAAUUCCCGGUGUAGAGGUGAAAUUCGUAGAGAUCGGGAGGAAUAUCAGUGGCGAAGGCGCCCAUCUGGACGGUAACUGACGCUGAGACGCGAAAGCGUGGGGAGCAAACAGGAUUAGAUACCCUGGUAGUCCAUCGCUGUAAACGAUGAGCANCUGGGUGUAGCGGGUACUCAUUCCUGCUGUGCCGCAGCUAACGCGUUAANUGCUCCGCCUGGGGAUUACGGUCGCAAGACUANAACUCAAANGAAUUGACGGGNGCCCNCACAANCGGUGGAGUAUGUGGUUUAAUUCNACGCAACNCNAANAACCUUACCUGGGCUUGACAUCCGCGGCCCNCUCUGNAAACAGGNAAUUCCCCUUCG